CUACGGGGAUGAUAACAGUAAUCGAACUCUCUCUUUCUGAUGGAUUACUGGAGAAACCACGUGAAUUCUGAGUAGC